GAUGAACGCUGGCGGCGUGCUUAAAACAUGCAAGUCGAACGGAAAGGCUCCUGCUUGCAGGGGUACUCGAGUGGCGAACGGGUGAGUAACACGUGGGUGAUCUGCCCUGCACUUCGGGAUAAGCCUGGGAAACUGGGUCUAAUACCGGAUAGGACGAUGGGUUGGAUGCCAUUGUGGAAAGUUUUUCGGUGUGGGAUGAGCUCGCGGCCUAUCAGCUUGUUGGUGGGGUAAUGGCCUACCAAGGCGUCGACGGGUAGCCGGCCUGAGAGGGUGUACGGCCACAUUGGGACUGAGAUACGGCCCAGACUCCUACGGGAGGCAGCAGUGGGGAAUAUUGCACAAUGGGCGCAAGCCUGAUGCAGCGACGCCGCGUGGGGGAUGACGGCCUUCGGGUUGUAAACUCCUUUCGCUAGGGACGAAGCGCAAGUGACGGUACCUGGAGAAGAAGCACCGGCUAACUACGUG
rnacentral:rRNA from 1 species